UUCAUAUUGUGCUGCCUCUUGACGCAUACCAAGCUGCUCAAGCUUGCCAAGAUUUUUCAAAUGUACUUCUGACAUUUCAGUGCAGCGUAUACCUAGAUUCAAAUGAAAGACCAACAAAAUGACAGUGACCUUUUCUCUUACUGAAGUACUGAAGAGUUAAACAUGCAGCGAGAGAACUGAGGGGCCCUCAAGCAUCUUAAUUAACAAAGUCACACCAGCUAAAAGUUUUCAACGAAUUUAAACUCUGGCAAGUUUGGAGAACUGUAAAAUUCUUUUCUUAUCAUUCUGAAUGCUGAAUAUCUUAAAGGAUUUACUUUACAACUAAUUUUAAAAUCUAAGCUAAAUUAUUUACUCUGAAUCUCUGAGGUGAUUUUGUGAACAUGGAGGCAUCCAUUUGGGAACAAAGAUGUUGACUUCAUCC
rnacentral:lncRNA from 1 species